AUUAGAUACCCUGGUAGUCCGCACGGUAAACGAUGGAUGCCCGCCGUUGGGUAUUUUUAUUCAGCGGCCUAGCGAAAGCGUUAAGCAUCCCACCUGGGGAGUACGCCGGCAACGGUGAAACUCAAAGGAAUUGACGGGGGCCCGCACAAGCGGAGGAACAUGUGGUUUAAUUCGAUGAUACGCGAGGAACCUUACCCGGGCUUGAAUUGCAGAUGACGGAUCCAGAGAUGGUGACUUCCUUCGGGACAUCUGUGAAGGUGCUGCAUGGUUGUCGUCAGCUCGUGCCGUGAGGUGUCGGCUUAAGUGCCAUAACGAGCGCAACCCCUUUCGUCAGUUGCCAUCGGGUAAUGCCGGGCACUCUGGCGACACUGCCGCCGCAAGGUGUGAGGAAGGUGGGGAUGACGUCAAAUCAGCACGGCCCUUACGUCCGGGGCUACACACGUGUUACAAUGGGGCAUACAGAGAGUUGGUCAUGCGCAAGCAUGAUCGGAUCAUGAAAGUGUCCCUCAGUUCGGACUGGGGUCUGCAACCCGACCCCACGAAGCUGGAUUCGCUAGUAAUCGCGCAUCAGCCAUGGCGCGGUGAAUACGUUCCCGGGCCUUGUACACACCGCCCGUCAAGCCAUGAAAGCCGGGGGCGCCUGAAGUCCGUGACCGCGAGAGUCGGCCUAGGGUGAAACCGGUGAUUGGGGCUAAGUCGUAACAAGGUAAC
rnacentral:rRNA from 1 species